AUGCCCCCCUUCGAAGAAGAGGGGGUAUAUUGCUUUGCUCAUGUCGGUCUGUCGGUCUGUCGGUCGGUCGGUCUGUCUUUCGGUCGGUCCGUCCACCAGGUGGUUGUCAGACGAUAACUCAAGAACGCUUGGGCCUAGGAUCAUGAAACUUCAUAGGUACAUUGACCAUGACUCGCAGAUGACCCCUAUUGAUUUUGAGGUCACUAGGUCAAAGGUCAAGGUCACGGUGACCCGAAAUAGUAAAAUGGUUUCUGGAUGAUAACUCAAGAAUGCAUACGCCUAGGAUCAUGAAACUUCAUGGGUAGAUUGAUCAUAACUAGCAGAUGACCCCUAUAGAUUUUGAGGUCACUAGGUCAAAGGUCAAGGUCACGGUGAC